rnacentral:rRNA from 1 species
UACAGAGGGUGCGAGCGUUAAUCGGAAUUACUGGGCGUAAAGCGUGCGUAGACGGUUAUUUAAGUCGGGUGUGAAAGCCCCGGGCUCAACCUGGGAAUUGCAUUCGAGACUGAAUAGCUAGGGUACGGUAGAGGGAAGCGGAAUUUCCGGUGUAGCGGUGAAAUGCGUAGAUAUCGGAAGGAACACCAGUGGCGAAAGCGACUUCCUGGGCUAGUACCGACGUUCAGGCACGAAAGCGUGGGGAGCAAACAGG